AGCAGCCGUGGGUUCUCUGGUGCCUGCAGACGCCGCCCAUAUUCUCACACUGCUGGUUCUUGUUUUCUUUCUUGUGUCCUGCAAAGGAAGAGGUGAAAACAAAAAACCACCAAAAAGAAAUGAAGGCAUGCUGAACCCGAACCACGAACUCCCCUUGUGCGGUGAGAAUCUGAAAACCACUGGCCACGGGACAAAAUUAACCCUCUCCCUGCUCUGGCGUGACCUGGGGGCCGAGAACGGCUUUCACGGUUUUUACGUGGCAGGGAAAUACACAGAAGAAGAGGAAUGUCGGACGAUUCAUGAAAACGUCUUUUUUACUUUUGGCUACCUAUUUCAAAGAGCGUGGAUGCAUCCCAGACAAGCUCUCACCAUGCCAAACUCUCACAGAGGUCACGAGCAGGGCAACGGAAUGGCAAGCAUCGACCUCCUCUCCUCCCGCAGACACCAAGACGUGGAAACUUAGAAGAACCUGGAAGGAAAAUAAAAAGGGCCAAAGAGUGUCAGAAAUGAAAGCAAUCUGAGUCUGUGGGUCCUACAGUGAAUCCUCAAGGUGGUGGUCACUGCAUUAUGAUAAUAACAGAUGAGUCUGCAAAGUUAGGAUCCCCUUUCCAGACAGAUGAGAACUGCUGAGGUUCAAGAGGUUCCUUACGUUUCUAGAACCAGCUGCUUAAAGUCUCCGAGCUGGGGGCCUAGGGACGGGUGGGACUAGACAGAGCCUGUGCCCGUUGAGGACCUCCAACAGAGAGUCACCAGGAAGCCCUGCAAGGUCAGGUUUGCACACAGCCCAGUGGUUUCAGCAUCAGAAACAGCCAGCAGGUGUCUAUUUUUAACCUUUGUUUUCCUAAUCAUUUCCUCAGUGAAGUAUGGGAGCUGAGAUAGAGCUUAGGGGUAGGGAUUGUUGAAGGAGAGCCUAAUGACUGAGGAACUGACCAUUGGAAAUAAAGAUCGCUUCUAGGACUCCUUCUGUAGGAGUGUUUCUCAUCUCUGGGAAGUAUGGGAGACCUCUCACUUCCUCGAUUCUCUCUUCCUGGCCUUUUCAGUCUUUCUGCCUUCCUUCCCCUCUUCUUGCUCUUCCCUCCUCCCUCCCUGAUACUGUUCUGUGUUGGAAUACAGCCAUGGACAAAUGAA